GCGGCGAGGGCCGCGUUGCCCCUCGCUGGCCGAGGCGCUGGAGGGGCUGCAGGACGUGGAGCGCUACUACCGGCACCUGUACCUGGAGAGCAAGCUUCUCCUCCUCCGCGUCAGCUGUGACAGCCUGGCAGACAUGGAAGCCCUCCCACAGUCUUGGGAGAGGAUUUUGGAGCGCUACAAGGAAGACGUUGUUCAAGAUACGCUUCUUAAGAUCUCUCUGUUUGUGGACAACCAGCGAGAGCUGUGCUGCUCACCCGGCUCCUGACAGAGAACAGGAGGGACUGAUGUUGACCAGCUUCUACGAGAGUCUGGUAUGUUCCGAGAUGACCACAAAGAGGAUGGUGAAUUGAGGAAGCUUUACUGGUGCUUUUUGGAAGCUGAACGAGUUGGGUACUUGGCCUCAGCAGGAAAUGCUUGGACUGUUUCAUUUUCAAGUGGAAAUGGACUUGGUGUCUGAAGAAGAGGCUGAGCUGAACAAGCCGUGAAGGUAGAAGGGAGUCAUCUUCAGCUAUGGAAGUCGUCCUUUCUUUUGCCUGCCGUGGAUAUUUUGUAUACUGAAAAAAAUGUUGAGACUUACUAACUUACGAAGAAACGGUGAAGUGUGCCACAAAUAAGUAAGCAUAACAUAAGGUCCAGCAGGCUGAUACCAUGUAAGAAAGAUGUUUAGGUACCGUCCUUAUAGAUAAAUAAAAGAUGUAAAUCAGGGCUCAAAACCAGUUUGCACCUCAUGCCUGUGAGCAAUGUGUUGGCUUUCAUCCCACCUGUACAUUGAAGAGGAAGGAGCAAAUUUGGCUUGAAAAUGUAAUUAUGGAGGUGCACGGACACCUGAAUUCUGACACAGGCAGUUUUCAGGUGUGUUAGAGUAUGCUUCUCUGAUUUCUCUGCUAGGGCAUGUUUAAAUCACAGUGUUAAAACUUAAUGGUCUGUGGCAGCAGCAGCUGCUGACAGUUCUAGGGACAUCUUUUGUUGGCCAUGACACUGAUCCUCUGUAAUGUUCCCAGAAAGUGGUGGGGAUGCCCGUCUCCAGAUGACAUAUCUGGUAAGAACCUUCGCAGGGAAGGCCAAAUAAAGAAUUGG